GCUCAGGAUGAACGCUGGCGGUCUGCUUAACACAUGCAAGUCGAACGCAACCUUCGGGUUGAGUGGCGGACGGGUGAGUAACGCGUGAGAAUCUGCCUUGGGGUCGGGGACAACCACUGGAAACGGUGGCUAAUACCGGAUAAGCCUUUGGGUAAAAAAUUUAUUGCCCCAAGAGGAGCUCGCGUCUGAUUAGCUAGUUGGUGAGGUAAAAGCUCACCAAGGCAGCGAUCAGUAGCUGGUCUGAGAGGACGAUCAGCCACACUGGGACUGAGACACGGCCCAGACUCCUACGGGAGGCAGCAGUGGGGAAUUUUCCGCAAUGGGCGAAAGCCUGACGGAGCAAGACCGCGUGAGGGAGGAAGGCUCUUGGGUUGUAAACCUCUUUUCUCAGGGAAGAAGCUCUGACGGUACCUGAGGAAUCAGCCUCGGCUAACUCCGUGCCAGCAGCCGCGGUAAUACGGAGGAGGCAAGCGUUAUCCGGAAUUAUUGGGCGUAAAGCGUCCGCAGGUGGCGAUUCAAGUCUGCUGUCAAAGCACGGGGCUUAACUCCGUUAAGGCAGUGGAAACUGAAUAGCUAGAGUGCCGUAGGGGUAGAGGGAAUUCCCGGUGUAGCGGUGAAAUGCGUAGAGAUCGGGAAGAACAUCGGUGGCGAAAGCGCUCUACUGGACGGCAACUGACACUCAGGGACGAAAGCUAGGGGAGCGAAUGGGAUUAGAUACCCCAGUAGUCCUAGCUGUAAACGAUGGAUACUAGGUGUAGCUUGUAUCGACCCGAGCUGUGCCGAAGCUAACGCGUUAAGUAUCCCGCCUGGGGAGUACGCACGCAAGUGUGAAACUCAAAGGAAUUGACGGGGGCCCGCACAAGCGGUGGAGUAUGUGGUUUAAUUCGAUGCAACGCGAAGA
rnacentral:rRNA from 1 species